UACGUAGGGGGCAAGCGUUGUCCGGAAUUAUUGGGCGUAAAGCGCGUGUAGGCGGCCCGUUAAGUCCGCUGUGAAAGUCCAGGGCUCAACCCUGGAAUGCCGGUGGAUACUGUCGGGCUCGAGUCCGGAAGAGGCGAGUGGAAUUCCUGGUGUAGCGGUGAAAUGCGUAGAUAUCUGGAGGAACACCGGUGGCGAAGGCGGCAUCCUGGACCAAUAUUGACGCUGAGGAGCGAAAGCUAGGGGAGCAAACGGG
rnacentral:rRNA from 1 species